rnacentral:lncRNA from 10 species
AAAUUAGCCGGGCGUGGUGGUGCAUACCUGUAAUCCCAGCCUUGGGAGGCUGAGGCGGGACAAUCGCUUGAACCAGGGAGGUGAGCCCAGAUCACGCCACUGCACUCCAGCCUGGGGAACAGAGCGAGACUUUGUCUCAAAAAAAAAAAAAAAAAAAAAAAAGAAAGGGUUAGGAACAGACACACAGACACAGCAAUAGACAGGCAGCUGCUCCUGUGGGGGUGCUCACCUGUUUCCCCACAACCAUUGGCCCAUUUGGGCUUGAACUUUGGUUCUGUGCAGGAAGAGCCAGGUGCUGGUUUGCCUACUGGGGCCAGUGGGCAGGGGGGCACCUCCUACAGGCUCCUUCCUGGAUCAUAGGCUCCUCCCCAACAUGGCGCAGCGCCCUGUGAGUCCCUAUCCCGCCCCAGCCUCUGGACGUGGGCCCAGCUGGCCUGACAUCUGCUGGGUGCAGCCCCACAAGCUUGCCUUGUUUUGAAGUUAUGUUCACAAUAAUGAUGGCAACUACCAUUACUAAGUACUCACUAGGCAUGACACAGUCUGCUAACUACUUUCCAUUCAUGACCUUCUGUUUCUGUCUUAACCAAUCCAAUGAGGCAGGAAUUCCUGCACCCAUUUGAAAGACAUGGAACGCAAGGCCUGGAGACACUGAGAGCCUAGAGAUUCUAACGCAGGCCUUUGGAGUCAGGGCCUGUGCAUUCCGCUCUCCUCCUCCCGUCCCCACUGUCUCUCACUCCUGUCCCUCCUCCAGGCCCCACUGUCCCUCACCCCUGUCUGUUCUCCAGGACCUGUCUGACCACCCAUCUCCCUCCUGCAGUCUGACUGUGUGUAUCCUAUAGUAGAGAUGCCAGGGCCCUCCUCACCCAUCCAGGGGUGGACCCUUGGUGGAGACGCCACGUGGGACAGAGGGAGAGGGCGGGAUGCCUGGAGUUUCUCUUCUACCAGCCUUCCAGGCGCCCGCUAGUGCCCACUGCUGGCCAAACUGAACACAAGCCUCUUGAUAAGGGAGUUUCAGAGACACAGCUCAAGGGGCCAGGCCCCUGAGACCCACAGCGGGUGGGAGACGGACGUGAGGACAGCAGAUGCGGUUCCAGCCAGCCCUCCACUCUGGAAACAGCCUGUCCCCGUUCCUCCCAGCUAACUGAGCCACACUCUGAACACCGGGUCACAGGCCUCAUCCAGAUGUGUGCCUCUGGCUUUUCUGAGGCACGUGUCCUACUGACCUCCCACCUCCCUGUGUCCCUUUGGCCCCUCUGGCCUCUUGGUGUCACCUCUCCUUUCCUACGCAAGUGCUCUGGUCCAGCCUGUUAUGGUUCUCUUUCCCGGCUCUCUGGUGACCAUAUCGGCAGGGAAGGGUCACAGCCCCCUGAGAUGUGGCUGAGGCAGUUUCCUGCCCCCUGCAGCAGUCAGUCCUGAGCCGGGUCAGGAGGCUCACCGCCCUGGAGGAGUGCUCCCUCCUCAGUGCCACCUCUGUGGGUUAUUUCUGGAGUUUCUCUCCCAGAUCUUCUGGGUGUCUGUGUCUACCAACGUCCCAUCAUUGCUUCAAAAACAACCGAAGCCGCCUUUCAGAAAGCUCCCGUGUCCCCCUCCCAGUGACAGCGGUGACUCAGUCCCUUGCUGCCUUGGCUCAAAGGCUUAGAGUCUCCCAGUUCAACCCCCACAUGCUGGAUGGAGGAAUUUCUCGUAAGACGCUUUCACCAGUCCCUCUUCUCCAAAGGAAGAAGAGAUGAAGCCCCUCCUCUGGGCCAGGCAAAUGACUUUUCCCGAGCUCCGCUUUAUGGCUACCUGGCUGUACUUUACUGCAUUCUAGAACAAUGAUGAUGAUUGUAACAAAAAUCUUAAUUGCUUUCCUAGUUCCCGUUUAAAACAGUUAUUUUUGACAGGGUAAAAGGCUCUGGGUCACUGAGAUCUUGCUCACACUCCAGGUUGUCCCCUGUACUGAGUGCUGUGACUGAGAGGGACAGGGGAUGGGGGAUAGGGGGUUGGGGCUGGGUGUAAAGAGGAGCUGGGUGUGGUUACUGCAGACGAACUGAUCAGGAGUCUGUCUCCCUCAGUGAGGAAGCAGAAGUUAAACCGGGGCAUCCAAACUUUUGGCUUCCCUGGGUCACCCUGGAAGAACUGUCUUGGACCACACAUAAAAUACAAUAACACUAGUGAUAACUGAUGAACUAAAAAAAAAAAAAAAAAUUGCAAAUUUAAGGAAGUUUACAAAUUUGUGUUGGGCUGCAUUCAAAGCCCAAGCUUGGGUUGGACAAGCGUGAUUUAAGAUCUCAAAGGAAAAUAAAAAGGCGCCACGCAGGAAGAAUGUGAGGGAAGGGCAUCCCAGGCAGAGGGAAGAGGCAGCUCGAGGGCCCUGGGGUGGGAGCCUGCAGGGAGGAAGGCCGGGACAGCGAGUGCAGGGUCAGGUGAGGUGGGGCCUCGGUGCUGGGGUGAGCAGCGGGACUCGACUUUCCAUGCGUCAGGGAGGCCCUAGAGGGUUUGAAGCUGCAGACUGACAUGAUCCAGCUCACGGAUCAGUCAGGCCACACUGGCUGCACGAGGACAGCUGAGCCGGAAGAGAGGAGAUGAGGGUGCAGUCUGGUGGGCGCGGCAUGAAGGGGCACCCUGAGAUCUCUGUGGGAGUGGACUCCACUACUCCUGUGUGCUCACAGAUCUGCCCCUUCCAAACAGUGCGUGCCUGGGGCAGGGGUGCAGGGGCCAGGCUCAGUAUAUGGCCUCUAGGCUGCCUCACUCCCCACUGCCAAUUCCAGGCCAGGCCUGGCGAGUGGCUGGAAGCUCUCCCUCCUCUUGCUACCUUUCACUCUCCUGCAGUUCCUGAACCUUCCCCAGCUCACCAGCUUUCUUUUGGCCACAGGGAAGGCAGUGACGCAGGAAGGGUUGGACAGCCCUGAUUCCCAUCAUUUCACUGUGUGAGCCCUGGCAGGGGCCUGCAGCUGCCUGGGCCUGAUAACGCUUUUGUGACGGAGAUGCUACUUGCAUCACUCCAUUUUAAAGAUGAGGAGACUGAGGACUCAGCAGGUUAAGUCACUUGCCGAGGCUCACGAGGCUGGAGAGUGGUGGACUGUUACGGAGCCCAGGCAGAUCCGAAUACAGAGCCCAUGUCUGCUCACCCCGCACCAAGCCCUGGAUGAUGCUGAAUCCUGCUCUGGGGGGAGGUUCUAGAAGCAUCCUCUGGGCCAGUUAAGUCAGUGCCAAAAGAUGCCUGCCUCUGCACCAGGCCCGUGGGUCUACACCUGAGUUUUGGUGAUCAGCCAGCCAUCCCUGCUGGCUCUGGUGGUGUGGAAAUGUGAGUACAAAUUGUAUAGACCAGAAGGUUCAGCCAGAAGGAGCCAUGUGCCGCCGAACAGGACACGAUCCAGCUCACAGAUCUGAGCAGUGGGAAGGCAUGGGGUAGGUCUCCAGCCCUGUCAUUCCGCAUGACCUACGGCAACUUGGGACCCUGGUCACCUGAGGGUCGGCCUGGGUGUGGUUUAACAGAGACACUGUUCAGCCCCCACAUCCAGAAGGCUGUGGUUGAUGUGACUCUGUGAGCCACCCCACUAUAAAAGCUGGAGAAUGUGGCUGGGCGUGAUGGCUCACACCUGUAAUUCCAGAGCUUUGGGAGGCUAAGGUGGGAGGACCACUUGAGGCUGCAGUGAGCUAUGAUCAUGCCACUGCACCCUGUCUCUAAAAAAAUUAAAAAUAAACGGCUGGGGAACGAGCCAUUCUGUGUCUUUUGUUUCCACGAAUUCUCAGGGAUGAGCUUGGAUGGCUAAGGGGGUGCCUGCCCUAGAGGACACGAGGCGCAUGCUUGGUCGUGCAGGCUGCCAGCUCUGUGUUGCCUUGCCUGGGCUCUGGGCCACUCCGAAAACUGGAUGAAGACUGGAACCUCAUCCCCACCAAAAUGCACAGACCAUGUUUUAUGCACAGAGUCUGAAGAUUCCCAAACUCUCACUUGGAGGCCCACCCAGUGACUCUAAAUGAAGAAGAAAACAAAAGUGCUGAUGAGAAUCUUCUCUGGGCUUUACUUGGCUUGACUCACUUAAUUCUGGCACUGUCUAUCUGAGGUAGGCACAAUUAUCACCCCCAUUUCCUAGAGAGAAA